rnacentral:rRNA from 1 species
GUGGCGAACGGGUGAGUAAUGUAUCGGAACGUACCAUUCAGUGGGGGAUAACGUAGCGAAAGUUACGCUGAUACCGCAUAUUCUGUGCGCAGGAAAGCAGGGGAUCGCAAGACCUUGCGCUGAUUGAGCGGCCGAUAUCAGAUUAGCUAGUUGGUGGGGUAAAAGCUCACCAAGGCGACGAUCUGUAGCGGGUCUGAGAGGAUGAUCCGCCACACUGGAACUGAGACACGGUCCAGACUCCUACGGGAGGCAGCAGUGGGGAAUUUUGGACAAUGGGGGCAACCCUGAUCCAGCCAUGCCGCGUGAGUGAAGAAGGCCUUCGGGUUGUAAAGCUCUUUCGGCCGGAAAAAAAUCGCAUGGGUUAAUACCCUGUGUGGAUGAUGGUACCGGAAUAAGAAGCACCGGCUAACUACGUGCCAGCAGCCGCGGUAAUACGUAGGGUGCGAGCGUUAAUCGGAAUUACUGGGCGUAAAGCGUGCGCAGGCGGUUUUGUAAGACAGGCGUGAAAUCCCCGGGCUCAACCUGGGAACUGCGCUUGUGACUGCAAGGCUAGAGUAUGGCAGAGGGGGGUGGAAUUCCACGUGUAGCAGUGAAAUGCGUAGAGAUGUGGAGGAACACCAAUGGCGAAGGCAGCCCCCUGGGCCAAUACUGACGCUCAUGCACGAAAGCGUGGGUAGCAAACAGGAUUAGAUACCCUGGUAGUCCACGCCCUAAACGAUGUCAACUAGGUGUUGGGAGGGUAAAACCUUUUAGUACCGGAGCUAACGCGUGAAGUUGACCGCCUGGGGAGUACGGCCGCAAGGUUAAAACUCAAAGGAAUUGACGGGGACCCGCACAAGCGGUGGAUGAUGUGGAUUAAUUCGAUGCAACGCGAAAAACCUUACCUACCCUUGACAUGUCCAUGAGCCUGAAGAGAUUUGGGUGUGCCCGAAAGGGAACUGGAACACAGGUGCUGCAUGGCUGUCGUCAGCUCGUGUCGUGAGAUGUUGGGUUAAGUCCCGCAACGAGCGCAACCCUUGUCGUUAAUUGCCAUCAUUCAGUUGGGCACUUUAACGAGACUGCCGGUGACAAACCGGAGGAAGGUGGGGAUGACGUCAAGUCCUCAUGGCCCUUAUGGGUAGGGCUUCACACGUCAUACAAUGGUCGGUACAAAGGGUUGCCAACCCGCGAGGGGGAGCCAAUCCCAGAAAGCCGAUCGUAGUCCGGAUUGCAGGCUGCAACUCGCCUGCAUGAAGUCGGAAUCGCUAGUAAUCGUGGAUCAGCAUGUCACGGUGAAUACGUUCCCGGGUCUUGUACACACCGCCCGUCACACCAUGGGAGCGGGUUCCGCCAGAAGUAGGUAGCCUAACCGCAAGGGGGGCGCUUACCACGG